GUAGGUAAAUCUACCUUCGGGUGGGGGAAUAACCCAGGGAAACUUGGGCUAACACCGCAUAAUGCAGCGGCACCACAUGGUGACAGUUGUUAAAGCGGGGGAUUUUAGGACCUCGCGCCUGAAGAGGAGCCUGCGGCAGAUUAGCUUGUUGGUAAGGUAACGGCUUACCAAGGCGACGAUCUGUAGCCGGCCUGAGAGGGCGGUCGGCCACACUGACACUGACAUACGGGUCAG
rnacentral:rRNA from 1 species